ACCUGGGUGGCUCAGUCGGUGAAGCGUCUGACUUCGGCUCAGGUCAUGAUCUCGCGGUUCGUGGGUUCGAGCCCCACAUUGGGUU
rnacentral:tRNA from 1 species